GCCUCCAUAGCUCAAUGGUAGAGCGGCAGUUUUGUAAACUGUAGGUUGAGGGUUCAAUCCCCUCUGGAGGCU
rfam:Candidatus Pacearchaeota archaeon CG1_02_32_21 cg1_0.2_scaffold_728_c, whole genome shotgun sequence.